GAAAAAAUGUUGUAUGUGCACAGUAAGAAGUUGGUCAUUGUCUCAGGGCUCUUGAAUUCAGGGCCUGAAAGUGUGAUUAGAAUCAGGAAAAAUCCAAGAAUUUGUGCAGAAAUUGUAGUGAGAAAUGCACGUAGAUUCCACUAUUUAAAGGAUAAAGCGUGCUCUUGCGGAAAUUAUUCGUGAAAGGUUUCCUUAGACCAAUGGAUCAUCAAAUAUGGACAAAUUGUGAACCAAGAAUGGAUGGUCUUUUAGAUGAGCACGAGUUUUAAGUUGAUAGUACUUUCUUGUACAAGUUAUAUUCGCUUUUUGAACGUUAGCUGGUUGGUAUUUCUCCAUGACUAGAUGUUGAAGAUUGUGAUGCGCAGAUACUACAUUUCGUCUCAUCAAAAUCUGGUCCAUGUGGGCCCAAUUCAAAGUAAUUUGGCAUCCAAAACGAUGGAAAGUUGGGAUCUGAGUGUAGGCCCACUGGAUACUGUCACAAUUUGAAAGGUUUCAUCUGGUAAAUGGUGUAUUUUACUGGAGAAUUCACAUUUGGGCUGAUUGGUUCCUUAGCCGCGUCAAUUUCUAUAUUUAUAACGAAAUUUGAGGGUGGAUAAUCAGAAUCCAUAUCAAGCUGAGAAUCCAUGGAUUCAAAGUCUUUGGAUCUCAAAGUCAUGUAUUGCAAAGAUCUGAAAGCAUUCAAUUUCUUCCAGAAACUCCUGGUGUACGUUCUUGUUUCGCUUGAGAGCGAUGAUCCUGACAAGAAAUUAAAGCAGAACCAGCAACAAAGGACGCCAACAGAUGCAGAAGGAGAUGGGAAUCCUGAGUGGAAUCACGAGAUGCAUUUUGAUCUGAGUGAGGUUUCUGUCGUGGAUUGUGAGCAUCUCUUUAUUCAUUUUGAUCUAUACCAUGAAGGGCUUUAUUUUGGAGACAAAACUAUUGGGGAAGUUCGUGUGCCCUUGAAGGAUUUGAUCGAAGAGAGUCGUGGAAUCGUCAGGUUUGUGAAUUAUCAGGUCCGUACUCCAGAUGGGAAGCCCAAUGGAUUACUGAAUUUCUCCUAUACGGUACAUGCCAAGGCUGAGGAUAUGGGGAUUCAUUUCCUCACGAGUGAGAUCAGUGGUUACUCGGCAGUGGUUCAUCAUCAGUCCCCUGAGAUUCAAUACCCCACAUCAGAAGUUGAGAGCUCAUCUCCUGGAAUUCACUAUCCAUCUCUAGAAUUGGAAGAUAGCCCCCUAGAAACUUACCUUGCUGCUCACAUCUAUCCAUCUCAUGGAAUCCAGUAUUCCUCGCAUUAUACCCCUGCUCCUCAUGCCUAUUACCCAUCAUCAAUGCUGCCGCCACCUCCGCCGCCACCUCCGCCGCCGCCGCCACCUCCACUGCUGAACCAACCAGCACCACCACAUCCAAAUCCACAUGGGGCAUGUUACCACCCUCCUUAUCCUCCAGGGUUCCGCCCUUGGGAGCCCAAUGGGGUUUAUGACCAUAGUGUGCACAGUAACUGCAGAUCAACAGGCAGACAAAGACCACAAUUUUGGCAAUGGUGAACCGUGGAGAAAUGACUUGGCAGCUUAUUGGAAUGGAAGGUGAGGACCUCUAGGGCAAAAUCAUGUGUAUUGUUUAAGAUUUGAAUGGUGGUUAUGAUGUUGCUAUACCUAUAUCUGAAACAUAAUUUGUCAUUUAUUUGGCUUUUUAUCCAUCACUUUGUACCAAAUUUUGUCCAUUCAACAGAGUAAGAUAGGUGCACCAUGGAAAUAUUUGCUUAAAUAUGAAGACUCUAAUGAUCAAAUUUUGGCCGAAUCCGACUUGAUUCAGUGGUUAAAGG
rnacentral:misc_RNA from 1 species